rnacentral:miRNA from 1 species
CAUAAAAGGAAACCUCAAUGUAGC